rnacentral:hammerhead_ribozyme from 1 species
AUCCAGCUGACGAGUCCCAAAUAAACGAAACGCCGCGUCUUGGAU